AUGCUUCUGAGGAUCACCUCUUGUCUGGGAAGAAGGGCUCAGAAUGACUGCAAAAUUGAAUUACAGUGCAGUAUUUAGAAUAAUCUAUCUAAAUCACAUUAUACGUAUUCUUCUUCCCUUGUGCAGCAAAAUAUAUUUAGAGAGAAUGAAAGAAGCUGCAUUUAACCUAACACUGCUGUGCUGUGAUAUCCCACAUCCUGGGACCAAAGGCUAGCAUGUAUCCUGCUCUCCUUUCUGUCCCUUAACACAAAAAGGAAGGAAAUUAACAAUUCCCUGGUGUUUCCCUCUGUUGUAGGAGGAGGAAGUAAGCUCAGCCCAACGAAGAAGGGUAGAACUGAAUUUGGAGCACGUUUGUUGACUAAGAGAGCAUGGCAUGAUAUGAUUUGAGGUAACUGUCUUACACUAAGAGCAAGAAAAGUAAAUUCACUUGGCUGUCCCAUAUCUCUAAGGAACCUGAUGCAUGAGUGGACUAGAGAAGAGACAGAGAGAAAAACUCCUAAGACCUACAGAUCAUCUGGCUGGCAGGGUCAAGUUUUCUUUGGAUUGAGGUGGAGCUGUGGCUUAUGGACAUCUGAUGUGAUAGGUAUUGCUACUAAUGAAAAAUGGCAGAAGAGUGACUUCAUGCAGAGCAUACUCAACACUUUUAGAUAUCUUGAGACUGCAAAAGCUGACCAUCAACAGCACGUUUUUAAAUAUCACUGCUCUUCAGACAAGUAAGUUCUCCAUUCCAGAUUUUUUUUUCUCUCUAAUAUUCCUAACUUGUAUUUUAUUCUUGUAUUUAUUAUAUGGACUAUCACAUUCA
rnacentral:lncRNA from 14 species